rnacentral:piRNA from 1 species
UAAGUUUCUCUAUAUUUUUGC